rnacentral:misc_RNA from 1 species
AACAUCGCGCACCUGCGGGAACCUGCGGAGGGAUCAUUACAGAGAUUGAUGCACCAAGUGCAUCACCUCCAACCCCUUGCGAAAACAACUAUCAUGUGUUGCUUUGGCAGUGUUUCCACUGCCAGAGGUUUACAUAAAAUCAGCUGUUUGGAUGUUGUCUGAGUAAACUAUAUGAAUUAUUUAAAACUUUCAACAACGGAUCU